GUAGUCCACGCCCUAAACGAUGAUAACUCGUUGUUGGCGAUACACAGUCAGCGACUAAGCGAAAGCAUUAAGUUAUCCACCUGGGAAGUACGACCGCAAGGUUGAAACUCAAAGGAAUUGACGGGGGCCCGCACAAGCGGAGGAGCAUGUGGUUUAAUUCGAUGAUACGCGAGGAACCUUACCUGGGCUUGAAAGUUAGCGACCGGUCCUGAAAGGGAUCUUCCCGCAAGGGCGCGAAACUAGGUGCUGCAUGGCUGUCGUCAGCUCGUGCCGUGAGGUGUUGGGUUAAGUCCCGUAACGAGCGCAACCCCUAUCAUUAGUUGCCAUCAGGUAAAGCUGGGGACUCUAAUGAGACUGCCCGCGCAAGCGGUGA
rnacentral:rRNA from 1 species